CACUCCUACGGGAGGCAGCAGUGGGGAAUUUUGGACAAUGGGCGAAAGCCUGAUCCAGCAAUGCCGCGUGUGUGAAGAAGGCCUUCGGGUUGUAAAGCACUUUUGUCCGGAAAGAAAUCCUUGGCUCUAAUACAGUCGGGGGAUGACGGUACCGGAAGAAUAAGCACCGGCUAACUACGUGCCAGCAGCCGCGGUAAUACGUAGGGUGCGAGCGUUAAUCGGAAUUACUGGGCGUAAAGCGUGCGCAGGCGGUUUGCUAAGACCGAUGUGAAAUCCCCGGGCUCAACCUGGGAACUGCAUUGGUGACUGGCAGGCUAGAGUAUGGCAGAGGGGGGUAGAAUUCCACGUGUAGCAGUGAAAUGCGUAGAGAUGUGGAGGAAUACCGAUGGCGAAGGCAGCCCCCUGGGCCAAUACUGACGCUCAUGCACGAAAGCGUGGGGAGCAAACAGGAUUAGAAACCCCGGUAGUCCCAUGA
rnacentral:rRNA from 1 species